CCGUCGCAGCCGCGCCUCGUCCUCGGCCACGCCGACCGCUCCGCCCCCAGAGCUCGCGACGCCGCCCGGAGCUCCCCAUCGACCACCGCGCCCUCGCCGAGCCCGUGGCGCCGUCAGCACCGGGAAACAGUGGCCUCGUUGUGUUUUGCCGAAGAUGCGACGCCUUCCCGAUGCCUGCUGCACAUCCCGGCCAGCAGCAGGCUUGCAGCUAGUCUACGCCUUCCUCGUGGUCAGCAAGGUUGAACCUUGAACCUAGCCGACAUCGUCUCCGACGUCGGCAAAACCCUUGUCCUUUCUCGUAUCAUUGUAUAAACUUGUUACAUGAUUUAACCAUAUCCAUGCCUGUGUCGUGCCUUCGCGCCAGUCUAAUUAUUUAUUUAUCUAUCUC